UAUGAUAAUUUUAGUAUAUGUUAACCUUUCAAAAAUAUAAUAUUUUAUUUAACACGUCUCGAGCUAACAACUUUGAAAACCAAUAUUUAUAUAGUAAGUUAAGUUUUCAGCCUCUUACUUCUCUAGAAUAUGAGACUUUUUAAAUUCUUCCCACAAUUAAAUAUAUUAUACCAAAUGUAUAAUUAUUUUUGUUGACACGUCUAACAAUCAUGUGGUUUAGUAACUUUAAAAACUAAAUUUUAUAUGAUAAGAUA
rnacentral:sRNA from 1 species